rnacentral:rRNA from 1 species
AGAAUCAACGCUGGCGGCGUGCCUCAGACAUGCAAGUCGAACGAUUAAACUUUCCUUCGGGAAAGAUAUAAAGUGGCGCACGGGUGAGUAACACGUAAGUAAUCUACCUUUGAGUGGGGAAUAACGUUCGGAAACGGACGCUAAUACCGCAUAAUGCAGCGGCAUCGCAAGAUGAACAGUUAGUUAAAGGAGCAAUCCGCUUAAAAGAGGAGCUUGCGGCAGAUUAGCUUGGUGGUAAGGUAACGGCUUACCAAGGCUACGAUCUGUAUCCGGUCUAAGAGGACGGUCGGACACACUGACACUGAAUAACGGUCAGACUCCGUACGGGA